rnacentral:rRNA from 1 species
CCUACGGGGGGCUGCAGUGGGGAAUAUUGGACAAUGGGCGAAAGCCUGAUCCAGCCAUGCCGCGUGUGUGAAGAAGGCCUUCGGGUUGUAAAGCACUUUCAGUGGGGAAGAAAGCCUUGGGGCUAAUACCCUCGAGGAAGGACAUCACCCACAGAAGAAGCACCGGCUAACUCCGUGCCAGCAGCCGCGGUAAUACGGAGGGUGCGAGCGUUAAUCGGAAUUACUGGGCGUAAAGCGCGCGUAGGCGGUCUGAUAAGCCGGUUGUGAAAGCCCCGGGCUCAACCUGGGAACGGCAUCCGGAACUGUCAGGCUAGAGUGCAGGAGAGGAAGGUAGAAUUCCCGGUGUAGCGGUGAAAUGCGUAGAGAUCGGGAGGAAUACCAGUGGCGAAGGCGGCCUUCUGGACUGACACUGACGCUGAGGUGCGAAAGCGUGGGUAGCAAACAGGAUUAGAUACAGAGUAGUC